rnacentral:lncRNA from 1 species
AUCUCGGCGUGCUUCGGCUGGCGGGGGACAUCGCCUUUGUUCAUUCGCGCUAUUUUGAAUUGCGUGUUUUUUUAGAAGGUGUUUGGACAAAGCGGAUCGUGUUCACGAAGCGAUGCUUGGCACGUAGCUGCAGACACAAACCAAGAUGUGCCCGCCCGAUAAAGGAGUGAAGCUCUGCUGCUAGCACAGAUGUCGCCAUAGUCCCGAGGCACCGUCAGGCAAGGCGAGAGGCUCUCCUUGUAGCACAGUCGCUACCAUAGUCCCGAUGCCCUUUCCGGGUA